AUGUUAGAAGGUGCUAAAUCAAUAGGUGCCGGAGCUGCUACAAUUGCUUUAGCCGGAGCUGCUGUCGGUAUUGGAAACGUCCUCAGUUCUUUGAUUCAUUCCGUGGCGCGAAAUCCAUCAUUGGCUUAA
rnacentral:rRNA from 1 species